rnacentral:lncRNA from 1 species
GGAAGAGCGGAAAAAUCGGCCGAUGGUGCCGCUGCCUCAGUUCUGCCCGCUUCUGUAGCCUCCUUGCUGGGUACAGCGGAGCAGAAAGAGCCUUAGUGUUCCCUCCCAAUCCCCCAGUUCUGCGGCCUGGAGACGGCAUCGCGGGCACGCUUCAACUGUAGGGGACGGUAUUCUGAACAGGCAAGAGCCUGUGACUCAGGGGUGGUCCCUCCGCACCUUCAGAUGAGAAGCUGAAGACGUACAGCUCCAGCCUGACGUCCGUGGGGGGUACACCAAAGCCCCCGAUGUGGCCAGAGGUAACCCAAUAGGCUCCCCCGUUACGCCAGAUUAUCCCUGGAGAAUUCACUCUCCACCACGUGAAAGGAAGAGACGAAAAGUUUGGGGACUCGAUAUAAGUCGGGAAGCAGCAGCUGGUCAGCUCUUUGCAUGCUUUGAGUCUAAUUACACAGAGCACAAAUCCAUUGCCCAUGAAGAAAAGGAACACUAGAAUGAGCCCUCUGAAAAAACCCAGGUGGUUGCCUUGACUCCUCACCUCUGAUUUACCCGCCUUCUCUGCUUCCUAAAGCUAAACAAAGUAUCACUAUGUCCUAGAAGAUGAAGCUCGCCAGGAAGCUGCUGUUUGGAAGCUUUUGUUCACCAAAUGCCUGCGAUUCUCCCAACACACCAUUCUCGUGGUACUCCAAGUGCAGAGGAUUGAGUGGAUCAGGUCCCUCAGCUCAUUGCAUCCUGUACUAUCAUCAUCACUUGUCCAUUCAGGGUCUCUCUCUUAAUUUAUUUAUUGCUUUCAUCCCCAUAACCACUUCCCGUAAUAGGCAAUCGUUCUAAUGUUUUUAACAUGUGUCUCCUGUUUUGUCCCCUGUUCACUUAGUCGUGAUGUCUCUGGUUGAACAAAAGUCCUUAAAUUUAAUGUAAUCAGACCCACCAACUUUGGGCCUUAUGGCUGGUGCUUUUGAAGUUAAAAACUUUUUUCCUGCCACAAAGGCGAAAGUCUACAUCUUCAAUAAACUUCAUAGCAUUACCUUUCACUUUUGGGCCCUUUAUCCAUUUGGAAUCUAUCUUUCGUGUGUAGUGUUGAGAUCUAUCUGUAUUUAUCUAGUUAGCCAGGUUCCCAGAACCAUCUGUUAAGC